AAGAUUAUUUUUAAGAAUUACGGUCUUUGUUCCGCACAUUUUACUCAUUUGCCAAUUAUUUUCUAAGUUUUGGACUCUAAAAAGCCUGAUUGCUACGUCACGGGAUGACAGGGCAAUAAAACACCUCCCCCCCCCCAUAACUGAUUCCCAUGGCUGUGG